UGUCUAGGGGCUCAAACCUAAAGAACUCAAAUAUCUAAACGGAGAAAUUCAAUACUAAACGUUAAAAAUUUAGUGUGCACUUUUCUCUUAGUAAGACGCCGUGAUCCAUUAGAAAUUGAUAAAUGCAAUUAUUUAUAGGAGGUCAUCAAUGAGCUUGCAUGAAGUUUAUCUGGAACAAAUGAUGUAAUCUUUUAAUGGUUAUGUGUAUUGUCUAGUAAGCAUGCGAAUACUCGUAAUGACUGUCUGAUGGAUUUUAGAGAUUAUAUCACUGAUGUCUUGUACAUCAAUCACAUUAGUGAAUAUGAUAUAUAUCCGAUCAACGGUGGUUAAAUUUGGGAUACCUUUUGGACCCGUCUUGAAACACGGACCAAGGAGUCUAUCUAAUGUGCGAGUAAAUGAGUAUAUUUGAAACUUAUUUGCAUAAUAAACGUAACUUUAUUUUAUGGGAUUACAAGAAGAGAGAUGUAAUUUUUUCUUCUUUUCCAUCCCGGAGUACAUUUAUCAACAUAUACGCAAGUAUAUGAAAUGUAUAUCAUGAGCAUAUUGGAUACGACCCGAAAGAUGGUGAACUAUGCCUGAUCAGGUUGAAGUCAGGGGAAACCCUGAUGGAGGACCGAAGCAGUUCUGACGUGCAAAUCGAUUGUCAGAAUUGGGCAUAGGGGCGAAAGACCAAUCGAACCAUC
rnacentral:rRNA from 1 species